AUCUACUCCCGGCUCAGGGGGACCUCAUCGCUCUCUACAACUGCCUGAAGGGAAGACUGGGGACUGGUCUCUUUUGCUCUGCCUACAGAAAGGACAAGAGGAAAUGUCCUAGAGCUGAGACAGGGGAGACUCAGAUUAGAUAUCAGACGGGUUUUCACUGUUAACGUGGUCAGGCGUUGGAACAGGUUGCCCAGGAAUGUGGUUCCCAGAGGUGUUUAAGAGGCAUCAGAAUCUGGUGCUGCUGUGAUGUGAUUUAGUGGUUGAGGGGUCACAGUGGUAGUGCUGGGUGGAUGUUUGGACUUGAUCUCAGAGGUCUCUUCCAGCCCUGAUGAUUCUGUGUUUCUGUGUGUUGGCACAGAUGCUGGACACAGCUGAGGGAGCAUGCCUGGGGCACCUGUAGAAGUUAGGAGAGCUGGCAGCUGCUUCACCAGGACCACAGCUGUGCCCCAAGCAGCACUAUGCAGGAGAGAGACCACCCCAUUACUCCCAUAUGUUCACCAUGCCCUCUCUAAAGAGACCUUAAUGUGGAAACCAGUUUAUUCCUAUUCCCCAACCCUUCAGCUGACUGCUCCUGCCUUUCCCACAGCUGGGGAAGGUGCUGUUAUGCCACUUUCCAACAUGUUGCAAAGUCCAGAGCAGGAGCCCUUGGCAACAGCCUUGUCCAGCCUUCCCUGACAUUUCCCACCAUUGGAAGUGCAGCCCACUGCCAUGUGGCAACUUUCCAGUCCACUGCUUCGAAAGGCCAAAACUCAUUCACCAGCUCCCUGGUGGUGAGCAAAGGCGGUCAGGCAGCAUGACCAGCUGAUGACUGCAGAAGGGGGAAGCACAGAGGGACAGCCUGCUGGACACAUCACUAACCCUCAGGAAGACACAGUAUCAAGGUAGAGAAGGCAGCAUUCCUCUCACAGUUCUGUACAGAGAUCAGGUAUGAAAAAGGCAUCAAAGAAAUCAAUCAAUCCAUACA